UCAUACUGCAUGAUUAAACAUUUCAUCGCUAAAAGAGCGCAUUAAUAUGGUUCUUAUAUUUUUCAUAUAAUUAAGGCAUGUUCUGUUUUUAUCUACAGGUCAAUGCAUGCAUAAUUGAUUAUUUCGUGAAUAUUUUCCUUGUGGAUUGGGAUUGGAGAUUGAAGGGAUUAUGUUCAAUAAUGACAUUCCAAAGAUCAGCCCUGGACUUCAAGUUUAUAAAAAGUGUCCGAUUUCAAAUGCCAUAGUAAGACUCAUUCCAUUAAAAUGUCAAACUGCUGAACUGAAGAUCCAGUGGGUGUGGAAGCCCCCUUGCCACGUAGGUAUCGUCGUCCUCCACGUGGCGAGACGGGAUUGGCACUAUGGUGACAUGGCGCGAAUUGAUUGGUUGUCAACUGUGCCUGUUGCACCUGAUUCUUCCUCCCCAUUAUUCGUCGUCCCGUCUUUAUUUCCUACCGUUGAAUUCUACUGUGAUUUUCUACAGAUGUUCGAUUGAGGUGGUCAUCUACUCUCUACUCGCUCAUCAGGCUCCUCUCUACCGGCUCUAACCUAUUUCUUUGUUUUUUUACUCCGCCACAUAUUAGUGUUGUCUCCACUCCGAAUUUUAUCUUUCCCGCACCUGAUUUUCCCUCUCGUCUCUCCGUCACUCGUCUUUCCUUCCGCUUGUUUUUGCUACUGUGUUGCUUUCUCCCCGCUUCUUUUCACUUUUUCUCGACAUUCUGAGCCUGUUCCCAUUCAAAAAUUACUAUCUCUUCACAGUCCUUGCACAUCUUCCCCAUAUUCUCUCUGUUCUUUCCUUCUGGUGGAAAAUUGAUUUUUCAAAGACUAUGUUGACUGAGUUUUUCAGAAUGAACAAAAUAAAUGCAACAGCUAAGAAUUUGAAGUGCUUAUAUAAAGAUUUUCUGCAACAUUUUUUAUGGACUCCAAAAAUAAAGACAUGGUUAGAGAGGAGUCGUAGAAAGGUCAUAGGGAGACUGGUAACUGUCGAGCCUAGGAAAGGAGCAAAGUACUAUAUAAGAAUUUUACUCACACAUGUUCAGGAACCAACGUCAUUUGAUGACUUACUUAUGGUUAGAGGUCACAAAACUGGCUCUUUUAGAGAAGCCUGUUUGUAGUUAGGAUUAUUGGAAUCUGAUUCCAAUAUAGAAGAAGCAUUACAGGAAGCUGCUCAUUUCCAGAUGCCGUAUUUGUUAAGGUCUUUAUUUGCAAUGCUUCUGUUUUAUUGUUCUUCAAAAAAUCCCAAACAUCUUUGGCAAGCAUUUGAAGAGCAGCUAUCUUCUGAUUAUAAACGAAGUUGCGCACAUCGACACUGCACAUCAAUAGAGAUUAAAAGGAAACUUCUUCAGGAUACAAUUCAACAUUGGAACACAUGGGAAAAACCUUGAUGUCUAUCAUUUUCUCGAAGAUUCCUUUACAUCCCAUUAUGGUGAGCCCCUGACUAAAGAAAUUAAAAGUGAAACUGCGACACCGAUUGAUCCAGAAGAUCUGCUUCUUCCUCAAAAAUUGAAUGCUGGACGAAGGCAUGCAUUUAAUUUGAUUCUGGAUUCAAUAUCCAGCUCAAAAGGUCAAGUUUUUUUAUUGAUAGUCCGGGUGGAAUGGGUAAAACUUUCUUAUAUCGAGUGCUUCUCGCUUUUCUUCGUUCACAAGGAUAAGUGGCAAUUGCAGUUGUCACAUCUGGGGUCGCAGCACCUAUCAUCCUUGGUAGUCGAAUUGCACACUCAAAAUAUAAGAUUCCUUUGGAUUUUUUAAAACAAAAAACUUGUCAACAAAGUAAGUAGAGCAGUGUUGCCAGGCUGAUUAUUAAUGCCAAAUUAAUCUUGUAGGAUGAGGCUUCAAUGGCAAAAACGGAAACAAUAGAGGCAGUUCAAUGUCUUCUUACCGAUAUAAUGGAAUCUGAUGUACCCUUUGGAGGAAUAACUAUUAUUUUUGAAAGUGAUUUUUGCCAAACCCUGUCAGUUAUUGAACAGCUUAGCGAGUCAGAUUCGAUCAAAUCGACUGUUCUAUAUUUAUAUUUAUGGUCUCAUAUGCGUAAGCAGCGACUGGCAACAAAUAUGAGAGCUGGCUUAGAUCCACCAUUUUGAACUUUUUUGAUUAGAGUAGGAAAAGAUGUUGAACCUGUUGAUGAACAUGGUCAGAUGUCCCUUCCACCUCAUAUAGUUAUUUCUUAUCAUAACAAAGAAGAGUCGCUUGAGAGGUUAUAAUCAGAUAGUGCAUUAUAAGUAGUUCAUUCCGUUCGUGUAUUUUUUACUAUUUGUCCUAAUUAUAUGUAAAUUCUUCCAGGUUAUUUGGGAUCGUCUUUCUUGAUUUAAAUCUGUACUCUUGUAAUCCUUAUCGAAUGAUAAAUAGAUGUGUACUUUGUCCAAAAAAUAAUUCAGUGGAUGAAAUUAAUAGGAUGAUGAUUGCAAAAUUUCCGAAAAAUCUUCACAGUUUUAGAAGUUGUGAUAGAACUGUUGAUAAGGGAAAUCAGACAGAUUAUGAGGACUUUGUAAAUUCUUUUAACCCAAAAGGUCCGCCUCCUCAUGAACUUUUACACCAAGAAAGCUGUCCUAUAAUGCUUCUAAGAAAUGUGAAUCCAACUGAUGGUCUUUGCAGUGGCACACGGUUAAUCUGUAGAGAAUUGGGUGAGCUCACAAUUACUGCGGAAAUUUUCUCUGGUCCUCAUAAAGGGAAAAAGUUUUCAUUCUAAAAAUUCCGUUGCGGACUUUUGAUAGCGAAAAAAAUGGUAUUCCAUUUAUACGGACACAGUUUCAUGUCCGUUUAUGCUUUGCAAUGACAAUCAAUAAACCUUAGGGUCAGACUCUUGACUAUGUUGAAAUUUAUCACAGUGAACCUGUCUUUUCUCACGGCCAGCUUUAUGUUGCUCUCUCUAGAGUUAGGAAUUCUUCCGUAGUUAAUGCUUUAAUUGCUCCGGGUACUUCUGAUGACAUCAAGGUUGAUUGUAAAACAAGAAAUGUCGUCUUUCAUGAUAAAUUGUGCUUGACUAACACAUGAUAUAUGAGGUCUGAUUACCCGUACCAUUGAAUACUUUUUAGUUUAUGAUUUGAAGAAUCAAAUGCUGUUGCCAAUUUCCCAUUCUAUUUCUGUUUUCUAAAAAUUUACAGAAUGGAACAUGUUAUCCCAGCCAAAGACGUCCUACCUGGCUCUGAAGGCAGGACCUGCAAAGUCUCCGUGCAAGAAAAAAAACAGAUAACUGGAUCAGCAACGCUGCCAAUAAAAAAAUGAAUGUUUAUUUUGUUGGAUUCAAAGGUCUUCUCCCAGUUGAUAUAUACUUCUUCAUACUGCAUGAUUAAACAUUUAUCGCUAAAAGAGCGCAUUAAUAUGGUUCUUAUAUUUUUCAUAUAAUUAAGGCAUGCUCUGUUUUUAUCUACAGGUCAAUGCAUGCAUAAUUGAUUAUUUCGUGAAUAUUUUCCUUGUGGAUAGGGAUCGGAGAUUGAAGGGAUUGUGUUCAAUAAUGACAUUCCAAAGAUCAGCCCUGGCUUUCAAGUUUAUAAAAAGUAUCCGAUUUCAACUAUUAUAGUGAGGCUCAUUCCAGUAAAAUGUCAAACUGCUGAACUGAAGAUCCAGUGGGUGUGGAAGCCCCCUUGCCGCGUAGGUAUCGUCGUCCUCCACGUGGCGAGACGGGAUUGGCACGAUGGUGACAUGGUGCAAAUUGAUUGGUUGUCAACUGUGCCUGUUGCUCCUGAUUCUUCCUCCCCUUUGUUCGUCGUCCCGUCUUUCUUUCCUGCCGUUGAAUUCAACUGUGAUUUUCUACAGAUGUUCGAUUGAGAUGGUUAGCUACUCUCUACUCGCUCAUCAGGCUCCUCUUUACCGGCUCUAACCUGUUUCUUUCUUUUUUUACUCCGCCACAUAUUGGUGGUGUCUCCACUCCGAAUUUUAUCUUUCCCGCACCUGAUUUUCCCUCUCCUCUCUCCGUCAUUCGUCUUUCCUUCCGCUUGUUUUUGCUACUGUAUUGCUUUCUCCCCGCUUCUUUUUCAAUUUUUUCUCGACAUUCUGAGCCUGCUCCCAUUCAGAAAUUACUAUCUCUUCGCAGUCCUUGCACAUCUUCCCCACAUUCUCUCUGUUCUUUCAUUCUUGUGGAAAAUUGAUUUUUCAAAAACUAUAUUUACUGAGUUUUUUAAAAUGAACAAAACGAAUGCUACAACUCAGAAUUUGAAUUGCUUAUAUAAAGAUUUUCUGCAACAUUUUUUAUGGUCUCCAAAAAUAAAGACAUGGUCAGAGAGGAGUCGUACAAAGGUCAUAGGGAGACUGGUAACUGUCGAGCUUAGGAAAGGAGAAAGGUACAACAUAAAACUUUUACUCACACAUGUUCAGGAACCAACGUUGUUUGAUGACUUACUUAUGGUUAGAGGUCACAAAACUGGCUUUUUUAGAGAAGCCUGUUUGCAGCUAGGAUGAUUGGAAUCUGAUUCCUAUAUAGAAGAAGCAUUACAGGAAACUGCUCAUUUCCAGAUGCCAUAGUUGUUAAGAUCUUUAUUUGCAAUACUUCUAUUUUAUUGUUCUCCAAAAAAUCCCAAACAUCUUUGGCAAACAUUUGAAGUGCAGCUAUCUUUUGAUUAUAAAUGAAGUUGUGCACAUCGGCACAUUAAUAGAGAUUAAAAUGAAAGUUCUUCAGGAUAUUUAUUCAACAUUGGAACACAUGGAAAAAAUCUUGAUGACUAUCAUUUCCUUGAAGAUUCCUUUACAUCCCGUUAUGGUGAGCCCCUGACUAAAGAAAUUAAAAGUGAAACUGCGACACCGAUUGAUCUAGAAGAUCUGCUUCUUCCUCGAAAAUUGAAUGCUGGAUGAAGGCAUGCCUUUAAUUUGAUUCUGGAUUCAAUAUCCAGCUCAAAAGGUCAAGUUUUUUUUAUUGAUAGUCCAGGUGGAACGGGUACAACUUUCUUAUAUCGAGUGCUUCUCGUUUUUCUUCGUUGACAAGGAUAUGUGGCAAUUGCAGUUGCCACAUCUGGGGUCGUAGCACCUAUCAUCCCUGGUGGUAGAACUGCACACUCAAAAUAUAAGAUUCCUUUGGAUUUUUUAAAAGAAAAAACUUGUCAACAAAGUAAGUAGAGCAGUGUUGCCAGGCGGAUUAUUAAUGCUAAAUUAAUCUUGUAGGAUGAGACUUCAAUGGCAAAAACGGAAACAAUAGAGGCGGUUCAUUGUCUUCUUACAGAUAUAAUGGAAUCUGAUGUACCCUUCGGAGGAAAAACUAUUAUUUUUUGCGGUGAUUUUCGCCAAACCCUGCUAGUUAUUGAACAGCUAGGCGAGUCAGAUUCGAUCAAAUCAACUGUUUUAUAUUUACAUUUAUGGUCUCAUAUGCAUAAGCAGCGACUAGCAACGAAUAUGAGAGCUGCCUUAGAUCCAGUAUUUUUCAGCUUUUUUUAUUGGAGUAGGAGAAGAUGUUGAACUUGUUGAUGAACUUGGUCAGAUGUCCCUUCCACCUCAUAUGGUUGUUUUUUUCAUAACAAAGAAGAGUCGCUUGACAGGUUAUUAUCAUAUAGUGCACUAUAAGUAGUUCAUUCCGUCCGUGUAUUUUUGACUAUUUGUCCUAAUUACAUGUAAAUUCUUCCAGGUUAUUAUUUGGGAUUGUCUUUCCUGAUUUAAAUCUGUACUCUUGUAAUCCUUAUCAAAUGAUAAAUAGAUGCGUACUUUGUCCAAAAAAUAGUUCAGUGGAUGAAAUUAAUAAGAUGACGGUUGCAAAAUUUCCUGAAAAUCUUCACAGAUAUAGAAGUUGUGAAAGAACUGUUGAUAAGAGAAAUCAGAUAGAUUAUGAGGACUUUCUAAAUUCUUUUAACCCAAAAGGUCUGCCUCCUCAUGAACUUUUACGCAACGAAAACUGUCCUACAAUGCUUCUAAGAAAUGUGAAUCCAACGGAUGGUCUUUGCAAUGGCACACGGUUAAUCUGUAGAGAAUUGGAUGAGCUCACAAUUACUGCGGAAAGUUUCUCUGGUCCUCAUAAAGGGAAAAUGUCUUCAUUCCAAAAAUUCCUUUGCGGACUUUUGAUAGCGAAAAGAAUGGUAUUCCAUUUAUACGGACAUAGUUUGACGUCCGUUUAUGCUUUGCAAUGACAAUCAAUAAACCUCUGGGUCAAACUCUUGACUAUGUUGAAAUUUAUCUCAGUGAACCGGUCUUUUCUCACGGCUAGCUUAUGUUGCUCUUGCUAGAGUUAGGAAUUCUUCCGCAGUUAAAGCUUUAAGUGCUCCGGGUACUUCUGAUGACAUCAAAGUUGAUUGUAAAACAAGAAAUGUUGUCUUUCAUGAUAUAUUUUGCUUGACUAACACAUGAUAUAUGAGGUCUGAUUACCCAUAUCAUUGAAUACUUAUUGGUUUAUGAUUUGAAGAAUCAAAUACUGUUGCCAAUUUCCCAUUCCAUUUCUGUUUUCUAAAAAUUUACAGAAUGGAACAUGUUAUCCUAGUCAAAGACGUCCUACCUGGCUCUGAAGGCAGGACCUGCAAAGUCACCAUGUAUGAAAAACAGUAGAUAACUGGAUCAGCAACGCCGCCAGUAAAAAAAUGAAAGUUUAUUUUGUUGGAUUCAGAGGUCUUCUCCUUGCUGCCAUGAUGUAUACUUCUUCAUACUGCUUGAUUAAACAUUUCAUCGCUAAAAGAGCGCAUUAAUAUGGUUCUUAUAUUUUUCAUAUAAUUAAGACAUGUUCUGUUUUUAUCUACAGGUCAAUGCAUGCAUAAUUGAUUAUUUCGUGAAUAUUGUCCUUGUGGAUAGGGAUCGGAGAUUGAAGGGAUUAUGUUCAAUAAUGACAUUCCAAACAUCAGCCCUAGCCUUCAAGUUUAUAGAAAGUAUCCGAUUUCAAAUGCCAUAGUAAGGCUCAUUCCAGUAAAAUGUUAAGCUGCUGAAUUGAAGAUCCAAUGAGUGUGGAAGCCCUCUUGCCACGUAGGUAUCGUCGUCCUUCACGCGGUGAUACGGGAUUGGCACGAUGGUGACAUGUCGCAAAUUGAUUGGUUGUCAACUGUGCCUGUUGCACCUGAUUCUUCCUCCCC
rnacentral:lncRNA from 1 species